rnacentral:rRNA from 1 species
AGCAAUUGACAUUAGCGACAGAAGAAGCACCGGCUAACUCCGUGCCAGCAGCCGCGGUAAUACGGAGGGUGCGAGCGUUAAUCGGAAUUACUGGGCGUAAAGGGCACGCAGGCGGUUAAUUAAGUUGGAUGUGAAAUCCCCGGGCUUAACCUGGGAAUGGCAUUCAAGACUGGUUAGCUAGAGUCUUGUAGAGGGGGGCAGAAUUCCAUGUGUAGCGGUGAAAUGCGUAGAGAUGUGGAGGAAUACCGGUGGCGAAGGCGGCCCCCUGGACAAAGACUGACGCUCAUGUGCGAAAGCGUGGCGAGCAAACAGGAUUAGAUACCCUGGUAGUCCACGCUGUAAACGAUGUCGAUUUGGAGGUUGUGGUCAUGAACUGUGGCCUCCGGAGCUAACGCGUUAAAUCGACCGCCUGGGGAGUACGGCCGCAAGGUUAAAACUCAAAUGAAUUGACGGGGGCCCGCACAAGCGGUGGAGCAUGUGGUUUAAUUCGAUGCAACGCGAAGAACCUUACCUACUCUUGACAUCCAGCGAAUCCUUUAGAGAUAGAGGAGUGCCUUCGGGAGCGCUGAGACAGGUGCUGCAUGGCUGUCGUCAGCUCGUGUUGUGAAAUGUUGGGUUAAGUCCCGCAACGAGCGCAACCCUUAUCCUUUGUUGCCAGCGAGUAGAGUCGGGAACUCAAAGGAGACUGCCGGUGAUAAACCGGAGGAAGGUGGGGAUGACGUCAAGUCAUCAUGGCCCUUACGAGUAGGGCUACACACGUGCUACAAUGGCGUAUACAGAGAGAGGCGAGCCAGCGAUGGGGAGCGGAACUCAGAAAGUACGUCGAAGUCCGGAUUGGAGUCUGCAACUCGACUCCAUGAAGUCGGAAUCGCUAGUAAUCGCGGAGCAGCAUGUCGCGGUGAAUACGUUCCCGGGCCUUGUACACACCGCCCGUCACACCAUGGGAGUGGGUUGCAAAAGAAGUAGGUAGCUUAACCUUUUGGAUGGCGCUUACCACUUUGUGAUUCAUGACUGGGGUGAAGUCGUAACAAGGUAACCGUAGGGGAACCUGCGGUUGGAUCACCUCCUUA